UACAGAGGUCUCAAGCGUUGUUUCGGAUUGUACAGUUGGGCGUAAAGGGUGCGAUAGGCGGACGCGGGUAACGUCGGAUCGUGAAAUCUCGGAGCUUAACUUCGAAACUGCAUCGAUACUGCCGUGCUUGAGGACUGGAAGAGGAGACUGGAAUUUACGGUGUAGCGGUGAAAUGCGAUAGAUAUCUGGAGGAAUACCGGUGGCGAAGGCGGGCAUCCUGGACCGGCAGUUGAACGGACUGAGGUAG
rnacentral:rRNA from 1 species